GAUGAACGCUGGCGGCGUGCCUAAUACAUGCAAGUCGAGCGAAUGGAUUAAGAGCUUGCUCUUAUGAAGUUAGCGGCGGACGGGUGAGUAACACGUGGGUAACCUGCCCAUAAGACUGGGAUAACUCCGGGAAACCGGGGCUAAUACCGGAUAAUAUUUUGAACUGCAUGGUUCAAAAUUGAAAGGCGGCUUCGGCUGUCACUUAUGGAUGGACCCGCGUCGCAUUAGCUAGUUGGUGAGGUAACGGCUCACCAAGGCAACGAUGCGUAGCCGACCGGAGAGGGUGAUCGGCCACACAGGGACUGAGACACGGCCCAGACGCCUACGGGAGGCAGCAGUAGGGAAUCUUCCGCAAUGGACGAAAGUCUGACGGAGCAACGCCGCGUGAGUGAUGAAUGCUUUCGGGUCGUAAAACUCUGUUGUUAGGGAAGAACAAGUGCUAGUUGAAUAAGCUGGCACCUUGACGGUACCUAACCAGAAAGCCACGGCUAACUACGUGCCAGCAGCCGCCGUAA
rnacentral:rRNA from 1 species